rnacentral:rRNA from 1 species
UACGGAGGAUGCGAGCGUUAUCCGGAUUUAUUGGGUUUAAAGGGUGCGUAGGCGGGCUUUUAAGUCAGCGGUAAAAAUUCGGGGCUCAACCCCGUCCGGCCGUUGAAACUGGGGGUCUUGAGUGGGCGAGAAGAAGGCGGAAUGCGUGGUGUAGCGGUGAAAUGCAUAGAUAUCACGCAGAACCCCGAUUGCGAAGGCAGCCUUCCGGCGCCCUACUGACGCUGAGGCACGAAAGUGCGGGGAUCGAGCAGG